UACGUAGGGGGCUAGCGUUGUCCGGAUUUAUUAGGCGUAAAGAGCGCGUAGGCGGUCCGGUAAGUCCGCUCUGAAAGUCCGGGGCUCAACCCCGGGAGGCGGGCGGAUACUGUCGGGCUAGAGUCCGGAAGAGGCGAGUGGAAUUCCUGGUGUAGCGGUGAAAUGCGCAGAUAUCAGGAGGAACACCAAUGGCGAAGGCAGCUCGCUGGGACGGUACUGACGCUAAGGCGCGAAAGCGUGGGGAGCAAACAGG
rnacentral:rRNA from 1 species